AUCUUCACGUCUGUAAAAAGAAACCGAAAGCCAGUUCCCUUCACGUUCAUAAGGAAGAGCUCCAAGCAUCCUAGUUUCCAGUUGCCGAACUAAAUUUCCCUGACGACGGCCUCUCUUCCGGUGGGAGAUGCUUCAAAAUGCAUUGUGGGAGAAG